rnacentral:lncRNA from 1 species
GUAGGGCUACUAUACUUUUAUAAGUAUUAGGCCCUUCGUACUCAUAAGUUGUUUUCGAUGAUGGAGCUUCCGAAUUGAUGAUCCAUUCCGUUAAAUAUGAUCUAGAAUAUUUAAAAUUUUUAUAAAAUAAAUUUCGUAAUUUUUCAAAAUCAUAAUAAAAUCUAUCAAGCGAGUAUAAAAUGAACAGUCAAAAUCGAACGACGUCCUAAAAAUAGAUGAUCGGAGUUAUUGAACUUUAUCUAGAUAGUGAAUAGAAUUUUCUAUCAAAAAUUCAAUCUAUACCGAUUCUUUUGCACCGUUAAAAUAGCAAGUAUUUUAUACCGGCCGUUAAAAAUUGUCAAUUUUAUGAGCUUUCGAUCGUAAGGUAAAUGAUGUCAAAAAAUUAUGGAAUUUGAUUUCUAGAAGUUUUAAAUGUUCUAGAAAAUGUUUAACAGGAUGAAUCGUCGAUUCGAAAGUUUUAUCAUCGAAAACAACUUAUGAGUACGAAGCCGAUCGUACUCAUAAAAGUAUAAUAGCCAGACACACUCUCUCUCUCUCUCUCUCUCUCUCUCUCUCUCUCUCUCUCUCUCUCUCUCUAUAUAUAUAUAUAUAUAUAUAUAU